UCUGGUGAGUAUACUAUUAGAGGCUACACCCGUAUCCAUUCCGAACACGUAAGUUAAGUUCUAAUAGGCUAUAUAUACUACAUUAAUGAAAAUGUGGGAAAAGUAGUUAUUGCCGGGU
rnacentral:rRNA from 2 species